rnacentral:lncRNA from 1 species
UGUGGGGGUACCGUCCUGUAGGCAGGGCUGUGUGUGCCCCCGUGUGUGCUUGGUGAGCUGCGUUCUGAGAGACCCCCUGUACUCAGGUGGGAAUGUGGCCCCGGCCUUUCAGAGGCGCGGGGCCGUGAGAUGCGGGGUGGGGCUUGCGCCCUCCCUGGAAUCGGGGCUGGGAUCCCGACUGCGGCCUUUGGCCGUGCCGCCCCGCUGCCUGGCUGCUGAGAGUUGCUCCUGCCGCUGGGGGGGAAACCGAGCUCUGUGGCUCCAGGGGUGUUGUCCACCCGCCUGUAAUCAGGGUCUGGGUGCGUGAGCGUUUGUGCUCUGCUGGCAGCCUGUGUGGGGUGACCGCCCCGCUAGCGGGGUGUGGGUCGAGGUGCCCCGGACUGGGAGAGAAGGAGCCUCCCUCGGCCGUAGGGAUGGGGGCUGCCCUGUAAGUCAGGGAGCAUCUGUGUCCCGGAGUCCCAGGCCCUUUUCAAUGGCGGCAGUGGCCGGGGGUCCCCUGUAAGCAGGGAAGCUGACUCUUUGGCUGCUGCUUUUUGUGUGCCCAGCCCCAUUUGCCCAGUCUGCCCGCCUCUGUGAUCCCCCGCAGCACUGGCUGGAAGUCCGCCGCGUGUCAGUGAGGAGCUGCUGCAGAAGGAAGAAGAAGCAGCGGCGUGGGGACCUGGGAGGCAGGAGCAAGCAAGAAGAGGAAGCGGAAGCGUGCAGAUGCGGGGGGGAAGGAGAGAGGCUCCCUGGGCAAAGCACCUGUCCCGUUAGCAGGGGCACAGUCACGUUUGAGUUGAGAGCUGCCGGCGCCUUUGGUGACCAGGCUGGCGUUGUGCUGGGUGACCUCCCCGUAAGCGGGGCUCGGGUCUUUGCUGUAGUUGGCCUUUUGCCUUGC